rnacentral:lncRNA from 1 species
AAAUUCGGAAUCUCCAAAUUGUCUGUACUGUACGAUCAACAAAGUUACACUACUUGGACAAUCCUAACACGAUUUAGUUAAUGCAAUUAUAUCCUAACACGAUAUAAUUGUAUUAACUAUUUGUGGAGAAGCCAAGUCGUGCAUGUCUUCUGUGAAACAACAAAACUGGAGCUUGGCCACCACGCGGCGUCGGUACUUUAUUCUAUAGCCAGGCACCAACGUAAGGACAAAACAUUUCACAACUAAAGCCCUCAAUUACAUACUGUUGAAAAAUAUUAUAUUUUCCUUAUUAGUAUAGGAAUAAGUUUCAAUAUUUUUCCUUAUUAGUAUAGGAAUAGUAAUAAGAGUUUUCCUAGUUGAGGAAGGAUUCUCCUAUCCUAACUCUAUAUAAACCCAUGUACCCCUUAUGUAAUCUCAUAUAUCAUAAUACCAUUGAAAACUUCCUCUCAUAAAUUCAAUAUGGUAUCAGAGCCGCCGGCUAUAUCUUCCGCUGUCGUCGGUGUUAAUCUCACCGUUGGUUCAUCAUGACCACGGACGACGAGAUUGUUUCACCUUCUUCCUUUCCUAAACACUCGUCUUCUUCCACCAUUCAUCUUUCUUCUGUCGUCUCCGAAAUUGAGAUGGCAGCCAACAACUACAACAACAAUUUCGGAUCUGAACCAGGCUCUGGAGGAGUUUCCAUUAGGAAAUUCAAUGGUAACAACUACCUCCAAUGGUCUCAGUCAGUCCGGAUGUUCAUCACUGGGAAACAGAAAGGGGAAUAUCUUACUGGUAUUGCAAGCAAACCAGAAGAAUCCGACUCAGCUGCCUUCACCAAGUGGGACAAUGAUGACAAUCAAGUUCGGUUCUGGCUUAUCUCAACGAUGGAACCAGAUAUCGGCGACAACUAUCUUCUACAUCAAUCUGCAAAGGAGCUUUGGGAUGAUGUGAAAGAAACCUACUCCACGCAGGACAACUCAUCUGCUUUGUUCGAAAUUGAGUCCAGACUCUACAAUUUCAAGCAAGGUAACUUGAGUGCAACGGAGUACUACAAUCGGCUGGUGCGAACCUGGCUUCAACUUGAUUUGUAUGAAGCUCAGAAGUGGGAUACUCCGAAUGAUGCAAAAACAUUCCGGACAUUCAUGGACAAGAAGAGGACAGUUCAACUGCUUCUUGGACUAAAUCAAGACCUAGAUGCUGUGAAAAGCAGGGUUAUGGGAACGAAACCCUUUCCAAGUCUGAAGGAGGCGUUUGCUGAGGUUUUGAGAGAAGAAGGUCGGCGUCAUCUGAUGGUUACAGAGACGAAGACAACCUCUGAACCCAGCAGUUCAGCCCUGAAAACUGAGACCUCAACCACAGCUCUCUUUGUUAAGAACAACCAUGCCAAAGGGAAACAGAAUCCUACUUCUGCUGCCUCUUCAAAAUGGUGUGAUCUCUGUCAACGACCCUUUCAUACGAAAGAGGAGUGCUGGGAAAUAGUUGGUGGACCACAAGGAUGGAGACCCAGACUGAACUUGAAUAAGCAGAAGUCUCGUGCGAACGCAGCUGCCACCAAAACUGAUGAUACGACACAGUUUUCAGCUGGUCAGUUGGAGACUCUGAAGAAAAUGUUUGCACAAAUCAUGAAUACUGAGAAAGCCGACCCCAAGAAAUCUUACAUGUCUAGUAUGUUCGACAAAAAAGGUACUUCGGCUGCUUACACUUCUAGUCAAAAUUCUCAGAAUAUUUGGAUCCUUGAUUCCGGAGCUACAGACAAUAUGACUGGUUGUAAGGAGUUGAUAGAACACUUAAAACCUUACCCUAGAACCUCAGGUGUCCGGAUUGCCGAUGGAUCAAUAGCACCGGUGGAAGGAAUAGGCAUUGUUAGGGUUACUAAGGAUCUUACUCUAUGUCCAGUACUUUAUGUGCCUAAACUUGACUGCAAUCUUCUCUCUAUUCAUCAAGUAACACAUGAUCUUCAGUGUGAAGCUAAGUUUCGCUCUCCCGAUUGUGUGUUACAGGAGGUGAAGACUGGGAAAAUGCUUGGAAGUGGUGAAAUGCGUAAUGGUCUCUACUUGUUGAAGGGAACUCAGGAUGAGGCUAGUUCCAGUAAAGCCCAUAGUAGUAUUAGUGCUAAUGUUGUUUCUAGUAUUGAACACAUUGAGAAUGAAGCCAUGUUAUGGCACUUCCGUCUUGGUCAUCCCAGUUUUACUUAUCUUGAAAAGUUGCUACCUGCACUAUUUCAGAAUAAAGGUUCAAAGGAUUUGAGAUGUGAUGUGUGUCAACUUGCGAAGCAUACGCGUUCUUCCUAUCCUAGAAUCGGCUAUCGACCUACCACACCUCUUAGUGUAGUUCAUAGCGAUAUCUGGGGACCUAUGAAAGUCAAGAACAUCUGUUUAUAGGCUACUCUUUAACCCAGAAGGGCUAUAGGUGCUACCAUCCUCCGACCAAACGAGUUUACACCACUCGGGAUGCUACCUUUUUUGAAUCACAGACCUACUUUCCUACUACUGUGAUUCAGGGGGAGCAAACAAAUAAUGAUGACAGUCAUACCCUCGUGGAUACGAUUUGUUUAGAGGAAGAGGACACUCCAUCCGAAGUUGUGAGUCAGAGGGAGCUCCCAACUGAUGUUGUAAGUCAGGGGGAGUCUCAAAUGUCAUCAGCGGAAUCAUUAGAAAAACCUCUUCUUGUUUAUCAAAGAAGAAAGAAUAUUGUGAUUGAAGAUGAUACUCUUGAGACAGAAAAUAGUGGAGGGGGAGUUACGAAUGCUGAUCGAGAAGUGAUAGUUGAAGAUGUUGAAGAAGAGGGUGAUGAUUUGAGUGAUCUAGAGGUUCCUAUUGCUCUAAGGAAAGGUAUAAGAAAUUGCACAAAAUAUCCGAUUGCUCGACAAAUCAGCUAUGAUGGUCUUAGCAAUUCUCACAGAGCAUUUAUAUCUGCUCUUGACGAGGAACAAAUACCUAAGAAUAUUGAAGAAGCUAUGAAACAUCCAAAAUGGAGAAGUGCUGUCAUGGAGGAGUUACGAGCUUUGGAGAAAAAUAAUACGUGGGACAUUGUCUCCCUUCCGAAUGGAAAGAACACAGUUGAUUGUAAGUGGAUCUUCACCAUUAAAUAUAGAGCAGACGGAUCGAUUGAAAGAUAUAAAGCUAGGCUGGUGGCUAGAGGUUUCACCCAAGCAUACGGCGUGGAUUAUGAUGAAACCUUUGCACCAGUGGCAAAGCUCAACAGUAUAAGGGUGUUGUUUUCUCUGGCAGCAAACCUGGACUGGCCGUUACAUCAACUUGAUGUGAAGAAUGCCUUUCUUAACGGAGAACUUGAAGAAGAGGUCUAUAUGGUGUUUCCUCCGGGAGUGAAAAAUCCGAGAGAAGGGGAAGUUUGUAAGCUUCGCAAGGCCUUGUACGGGUUGAAACAAUCUCCCCGAGCCUGGUUUGACAGAUUUACCAAGGCUGUGAAGCAAGGAGGAUACUACCAAUGUCAGACCGAUCACACCUUAUUUGUGAAGCACUCACCUACAGGGAAGAUCUCCAUCCUCAUUGUGUACGUGGAUGAUAUUAUAAUCACUGGAGACGAUGUAGAAGAAAUUAAGAGACUCAAGGAUCAACUGGCAAAAGAGUUCGAACUCAAAGACUUGGGAAACCUUAAAUACUUCCUAGGAAUGGAAGUUUCGAGAUCUCAGAAAGGUAUCGUAAUCUCUCAACGAAAAUAUGUUUUGGACUUACUAAAGGAAGUGGGAAUGCUUGACUGUAAGCCUAUCGACACUCCCAUGGAGUCGAAUAAAACUCUUAGCAGGGAGGAGGAUAUUCCUGCAGUUGAAAAAGGUCGGUAUCAACGAUUGGUUGGGAAACUGAUUUAUUUAGCUCACACUCGACCCGAUAUAGCUUUUGCAGUUGGGAUUGUCAGCCAGCACAUGCACUGUCCUAAUGAAGAACAUAUGGGAAUGGUUUACAGAAUCCUAAGGUACUUGAAGAGUUCACCUGGAAAGGGAAUCUAUUUCAAGAGAACUGCUCAACGGGGAAUUACUGUCUAUACUGAUGCAAGUUGGGCUGGUGAACUCACAGAUCGAAGGUCUACAACUGGUUAUUGUAGUUAUGUCUGGGGAAAUCUUGUGACAUGGCGAAGUAAGAAACAAAAGGUUGUGGCUAGAAGCAGUGCAGAGGCUGAGUACCGAGCUCUCGCACUUGGAAUAUGUGAGAGUAUCUGGUUGAAGCGCAUCAUGAAUGAGCUGAAGAUUGAGAUCGAUGGUCCUAUCCAGUUUCUGUGUGAUAGCCAAGCAGCAAUCAGCAUAGUCCGCAACCCUGUUCAUCAUGAUCGAACUAAACAUGUGGAGGUAGAUCGUCAUUUUAUAACUGAAAAUGUUAGUUCUGGUGUGGUUCGAGUGGAAUAUGUUCCUACGAAGCAACAGACUGCAGAUGUUUUUACGAAGCCUCUUUCAAGAGAUGUGUUUGACCACUUACUGUCCAAGCUUGGGUUAAUUAACAUCUACACCAAGCUUGAGGGGGAGUGUUGAAAAAUAUUAUAUUUUCCUUAUUAGUAUAGGAAUAAGUUUCAAUAUUUUUCCUUAUUAGUAUAGGAAUAGUAAUAAGAGUUUUCCUAGUUGAGGAAGGAUUCUCCUAUCCUAACUCUAUAUAAACCCAUGUACCCCUUAUGUAAUCUCAUAUAUCAUAAUACCAUUGAAAACUUCCUCUCAUAAAUUCAAUACAUACCAAAGAUUCAACUGCUCUGUUGACAAAUUGCACAAUCUCACCCAGCAAUGUAGACCGUCCAUAAACAAAACCUCUGCAACAAACCACAAAGUAAACUCCACUUCAUUAAACAAGCGAAUCAUCUUCACUUCGCUGGAACAACAAAAACCACCAUCUCGCUCUUUCCUUUCUUCAGUGCUGCCUUUUUCUUUCCAAGUUGAUGAUCAUCAGUUCUUGAAACACCAACCACACUUUGGUUGCUUAACUGCUCCAAAAACUUUCCUAACCCUUGAAAUCUCCAGAAACAAUUGGUUUGGCCAUCAUAUCUUGAAAGAUUCACAAUUGAAUCAUGUUCAAAACAGUAUAUAAUGCAUCGAUACUAUCCGAUGGACCAUGAGAAAUCGAUUAUAACCUGAAGAAGAAACUCAAAACUAAUGUUUUCAGAACAAUUGUACCUGAGAUGGUGUUAUGAGUUUCAAAACUAAUGUAUUCUAACUACCAACUAUGAUGAAUCCAUGCUCUCUAAGCGUUUAACACAACAAAAAUUGUGUGCAUUCUAUAUCUAUCUCGAAUUCGGAGGACUUGGAGCUUAAAUUGAGCCGUAUCUUACAGUGCCGGGCCUCCAGUUUCCUUGAGCUGGAGCUGAAGAAGCUGCAGAUCCAGAUGCAGAUGCCGAUGCCGAUACAAAAGUCCGAUCCCAGGAGGCGUCACUAGCAUAGCCACUAUUUACCUCGUCUGCUCGCGAGUAGGCAUAACCUUGCCC